CUCAUUUUCCCUGGGGUUAUCUCCUGAUUUGCUCUCUGCUCUUCUCAUGCUGUGCACUUUUAGGUCUCUGAGGGCAGCCCCAGCUGCAGCUCAGUUCUCUGGUGCAAUGUUGCACUGCCACCCACACGGGCCAGGUGACCCUGUCCUGCUGGCCUGCCGCUGAGCUGAGUGCACACUGCUGCGUGAUGUGAGGAUGCUGUCCCUCACCAACAGUGUUCUGCUUUCUUCCCAGAUUUCUUCUCUAGCGCCUGGGCAGCCCCACUGCCUCAGGGGCCAGCAGCCUGGCUGUUAUCUGAUGCUUCCCACAGUCCUCUGGGGAACCUGUCCCUGCUCUUUCUCAUUCUUGCUUCAUUGCUUGUCCUGAGAAAUGCUGCCUGGAGAGUUAAAUUACUUGGGUUCGGCCAGGAUGGAUCACAUCCUUCAUCUUUAAGAAACAUCUAGAAACUAAGGGGCUGAAGAGCGGGAGCCCAAAGCCACGUCGGACGUCAGCAGCAGCACCAAAGCUAAUGGAACGCUUGUCGCUCUGUUUUCAUCUGUGAGACUCUACUGCCCUCUUCAGUUAAGUAUCAGCAUCAGAAAGAUUCUCCCUCAAUUGCAGGACUUGGAACGGACAGUUGUGGUUGCGUCUAGAUCUGCAGAUGAUGAAGCCCCAACCUCACGUCCUCGUGGAAUCCCAGGUCCCCUGAGCGGACAGGAAGCAACGGCUGGGCAGGGUUCCAGUGUUUCUGACUUGGAUCAAACCAUCUCUGGAUAUUUCGAGAAAGACCACGCUGUUCUGCAGAGCACCACUGGGGAUCAGUACACUAAGCUUAUAGCUACUUUGGUUUUUUUUUUCCAAUGAUGUUUGAAGAUAAGGAAGGAAAUUGAGGAAGGAAGAACGGGAGGGAGGGAGAGACAGAGGAAGGGAAGAAGGGAAGAAGGAAGAGAACAGGUUGAGUCGCAGAGUCCAGGUUGCUUUAUCCCUGAAAACUUUCUGAGGAGGACUGACAUUAUUAUCUAAUUGUUGGAAUCAGGAGGCAAAAGGAAACUCCCUUCUAAAAGGGAACCACCAAAGAAAAGUCUGUGCAUAAGGUACUUUUAUAGCAGGACUGAACCAAUUCCAGAGGCAAAUGAUCAUCCCACAUAACUAGGAAAUGAGCCACUUGGAAGCUAACGUCUUAGGGAUUACAGAAUGGAGUUAGGAACUACUAGGAAGAUUCCGGAACCCAUAUACUCCCAUCAUGCAUUGUACUGAUCACCAUUAGAUUGUUGUUAAUUUUCUUACGGAUUGGUCUUAGUAGAUUGUAAACCAUUCCUUUUCUUUCUCUCCCUCCCUCUCUGUCUCUCCGUGUAAGCUUCUGGAUGAAUGUUCUUGUGCUCUAUAGAACCUUGGACUAUAGAAGUCAAAGCUCUUUCCAAGUGUAACUUUUGAAGAAAAUAGUCCUUAACCAACUUUCCAUAUUUCUAUUAAAUUAGAAAGGACUAGAAUAAGUUUUCAACUUUUCCCUAAUUUCUGCUCUCCUUCUUUAAAAUUUAAAAUUCAUAUUUGUGUUUCAUUUCAUGAUAUAUUAUACCAUCAAACACUCUUAACAUUUCUGGAAAAGCUAACUCAUUUCUUGAUUAUUACCCAUGAGGCUGGCAUAUGUAGAGGCCAAGACAGGCUGCCCCAAAAUGGGCCACUUUGGCAUGUUGUUUAUUUUGAGUUGAACACAAUCACGACUCUGCAGGGCCAAGAGCAAGUUUUACUCCUUCCUUAAUUACCUAGAAGAAUCUAAAUUGGGGUCUUUCCCAGAAUAAAGGUUAUUAUCAGACAAAAAUUUUAUCUGAGUGAGCCAUCUGUAGGGCAGGGCAAACAUCUAAUUACUGAACAUCUGCUCUUCUUUGCCUGGUGAAUUGCCCUCCUCCCCGGUGAAGCUCCAGGCCCCUAUCUCACUCCUUAGCUCAGACGGCAGAGACCUCAUUUUACCUUUCUGUCUUUGAACCUUUCAUAUACGUGGGGUUCCUAUUCAGAUGAAAUAUUUGAUUUUCUCCUAUUAAUCAGCCUCAAGUCAAUUUCAUUCUUAGACCAGCCAGAAGAACCUUUGAAGGGUGGAAGGUAUUCCUCCCUAAUAUAAGUAAAAUCUGUGUACUUUAGGAAAUAUGGAUUACUUAAACUUUUUUCAGUAGCUGCACAGUAUUCCAUAAAGUGGUUGUAUUAUAAGUCAUUUUAUAUUUCCCUACUGAAACAUUUUAGGAUGUUACUAAGAUUGACUAUUAUGGGAAAAUGCAGCAAUGAACAUCCUUGUAUCCUAGAUCAGAUAUUAAGAAGCAAAACUGUUUGGAAAUAAAUUUUACAGUUGAAAUACUGCCAAAUUGUCACCCAAAAAAAUGGUUCACUAAAUUUACAUUCCUACCAGCAAUGUAGAGUGCAUGCAUUUCAUUUGCUUGUGCCAAAAUAUUUUUAUUACCAAAUUUAAAUUUUUUCUAAUAAUUUGGGUGAAAAUGGGAUCUUUGUAUUUUGCACUUCCCAGAUUACUCUUGAAGUUUAGCAACUUUUGCAGAGUAUUUGUGACUGUGUUAAUUUUAGCCAAUGUCAUUUCUAUAAAUUAUUUAGCCCUGUUGCAAAUUACUCUAAGCAAAACUACUUUAAAAUUAUUCCUACACUGUUGGUGGGAGUGUAAAUUGGUGC